rnacentral:lncRNA from 1 species
AAUGGCAGCGGCCGUCGCACGCAGUAGGCACCUCCACCCCCCUAAUGUGCUGAACAGCUUCCCACACGCCCGAAAAAGGGGUGCAGUUCCCCUGCCCGCCGCGAGGGGGCGCCUCGCGCAGAUCCUUCUUGCUCUGGGGCUGGCGCCAGCCGCCGGGAUGAUUCAAAGGGCGAGUCUUUACCCAGCGCCUCCAGAGUUCCCGGGCUGCCUUAGGCUCUCGGGAGGGCAGGCCCGCGGCGAGCCGGUACCCGUUGCGGGGGAUCCCGGCCGGCAUCUGGGGGUCGUCCCGGGAACGCGGGCCGGGAUCACGAGCACGUUCCAAGCUGCGCGCGGCGGGGUCGCACAGGCAGGCGCGGAGCGCUUCCGGGAGGAGAGUUCCCGCUGCACUCGCGACCUCUGACCCUAGCCUACGGGCCUGCAGGCGCUCGCGGGUCUGGCCGGCCGCGCUCCGCCCCAGGCCCCUCCGCGCAGGCGCUGCCAGCCGCGGUUCCCAUGGCGACGGGGGACGCUUCCCCGCGCGAGGCCCCGCCCCCAGCAGGCCAGGCUGCGCGGGGCCGCUGCGGCGCCGGCAGGUGCCGCGGGCUGCGGGCAGGUGGCGGCGCGGCGCGGGCAGGCGGCGGCGGCUGCAGGGUAGGUUGUGCGGCGGCCGCCGGCGGUGGGGGCGGGCUGUCUGCCCCCAGUCCCCCGCCCGCGGAGGGGCUGGGAGGCGGCGGUGGGCGAUGGCCGCCAAGUUUCUGCUCGGCUGAGGCCCCGGGAGAAAAGUUGGCAAAGUUGGCCCGGGAAGAGGUGGGGACCCGGUGGAUCUCCCCUGGCUCCGGGUCUGCGUGGAGGGAGGAUCCCGAUUUGGAGCCGGGGGAUCUGUCUCCCGAGACUUGGGAGUGGAUCCCGCGGGAAAAUCCCGCACAGCGCAGCCAAUGGAUCCCGCGCCACCAGGCUAAAGACUUGGGAGUCGAUCCCAGGAGUGGAUCGGGCACCGGCGGCCUGGGGUCCCUGCCAUUCCAUCUCCAGCCUGAGGAUGGCGGGGGUGUCCCUAAGGAGGAAAGGCGGCGACCCCUUCCUGUCUUGAGUCACCAGGCUGUUGCUGAGGUGGCUGUAGGAGCACGGGAGAAAGGUGUCCCUAAGGUGAAAAAGUGGCAGCCCCUUCCUGUCAUGAGUCACCAGGCUGUUGCUGAGGUGAGCUUCCUGUCUUUCCCUGAGGAGCACAAGUGCUGUCUUAGAGGCUUUGCAAUCAACUUCUGUUGUAAACAUGACAAUCUACAUUUUCCAUGAUAUUGUUACUUUCCCUGAUGGGGACAGUGGUGAGUGGUUGCCUCUUGCCAACUGUAACUUGAUCAA